ensembl:snoRNA small nucleolar RNA SNORD49
UGUCCUGAUGAUACUGAUCCUAGGAAGUGCCGUCAGAUGCGAUAACUGACGAUUUCACACGAUCUGACC